GUGCUCGCUUCGACAGCACAUAUACUAAAAUUGGAACGAUACAGAGAAGAUUAGCAUGGCCUCUGCGCAAG
rnacentral:snRNA from 1 species